rnacentral:rRNA from 1 species
ACACUCCUGCGGGAGGCAGCAGUGGGGAAUUUUGGACAAUGGGCGAAAGCCUGAUCCAGCAAUGCCGCGUGAGUGAAGAAGGCCUUCGGGUUGUAAAGCUCUUUUGUCAGGGAAGAAACGGUGAGAGCUAAUAUCUUUUGCUAAUGACGGUACCUGAAGAAUAAGCACCGGCUAACUACGUGCCAGCAGCCGCGGUAAUACGUAGGGUGCAAGCGUUAAUCGGAAUUACUGGGCGUAAAGCGUGCGCAGGCGGUUUUGUAAGUCUGAUGUGAAAUCCCCGGGCUCAACCUGGGAAUUGCAUUGGGGACUGCAAGGCUAGAAUCUGGCAGAGGGGGGUAGAAUUCCACGUGUAGCAGUGAAAUGCGUAGAUAUGUGGAGGAACACCGAUGGCGAAGGCAGCCCCCUGGGUCAAGAUUGACGCUCAUGCACGAAAGCGUGGGGAGCAAACAGGAUUAGAUACCCCUGUAGUCCCAUG